UCCUGGAACUCAGAUGUGAAAAACAAAAUCAAGUUUGAGGAUGGCUUGGAUACGUCACAAAGUUACUGGCAUAGUAUAAACACCGGUGCAAAAGACUUAAUGACGUGGUAUAAGGACAGGUACAAAGACGUAAUAACGUGGUAUAAGGACAGGUACAAAGACGUAAUGACGUGGUAUAAGGACAGGUACAAAGAGGUAAUGACGUGGUAUAAGGACAGGUACAAAGACGUAAUGACGUGGUAUAAGGACAGGUACAAAGACGUAAUGACGUGGUAUAAGGACAGGUACAAAGACGUAAUGACGUGGUAUAAGGACAGGUACAAAGA